rnacentral:rRNA from 1 species
AUUGAACGCUGGCGGCAGGCUUAACACAUGCAAGUCGAGCGGAGAUGAGGUGCUUGCACCUUAUCUUAGCGGCGGACGGGUGAGUAAUGCUUAGGAAUCUGCCUAUUAGUGGGGGACAACAUUCCGAAAGGAAUGCUAAUACCGCAUACGUCCUACGGGAGAAAGCAGGGGAUCUUCGGACCUUGCGCUAAUAGAUGAGCCUAAGUCGGAUUAGCUAGUUGGUGGGGUAAAGGCCUACCAAGGCGACGAUCUGUAGCGGGUCUGAGAGGAUGAUCCGCCACACUGGGACUGAGACACGGCCCAGACUCCUACGGGAGGCAGCAGUGGGGAAUAUUGGACAAUGGGGGGAACCCUGAUCCAGCCAUGCCGCGUGUGUGAAGAAGGCCUUAUGGUUGUAAAGCACUUUAAGCGAGGAGAAGGCUACUGAGACUAAUACUCUUGGAUAGUGGACGUUACUCGCAGAAUAAGCACCGGCUAACUCUGUGCCAGCCGCCGCGGUAAAAC